rnacentral:rRNA from 1 species
GUGGCAGACGGGUGAGUAACACGUGGGAACCUACCCAAAGGUACGGAAUAACGCAGGGAAACUUGUGCUAAUACCGUAUGUGCCCUUCGGUGGAAAGAUUUAUCGCCUUUGGAUGGGCCCGCGUCGGAUUAGCUAGUUGGUGGGGUAAUGGCCUACCAAGGCGACGAUCCGUAGCUGGUCUGAGAGGAUGAUCAGCCACACUGGGACUGAGACACGGCCCAGACUCCUACGGGAGGCAGCAGUGGGGAAUCUUGCACAAUGGGCGAAAGCCUGAUGCAGCCAUGCCGCGUGAAUGAUGAAGGCCUUAGGGUUGUAAAGUUCUUUCGUCAGGGAUGAUAAUGACCGUACCUGAAGAAGAAGCCCCGGCUAACUUCGUGCCAGCAGCCGCGGUAAUACGAAGGGGGCUAGCGUUGUUCGGAAUUACUGGGCGUAAAGCGCACGUAGGCGGACUUUUAAGUCAGGUGUGAAAUCCCGGGGCUCAACCUCGGAACUGCAUUUGAAACUGGAAGUCUUGAGAUCAGGAGAGGUUAGCGGAAUACCGAGUGUAGAGGUGAAAUUCGUAGAUAUUCGGUGGAACACCAGUGGCGAAGGCGGCUAACUGGACUGAUACUGACGCUGAGGUGCGAAAGUGUGGGGAGCAAACAGGAUUAGAUACCCUGGUAGUCCAC